UACAGAGGGUGCGAGCGUUGUCCGGAAUCACUGGGCUUAAAGGGCGCGUAGGCGGGUUGCCAAGUCUGUGGUGAAAUCCUCCAGCUUAACUGGAGAACGGCCGUGGAUACUGGCGACCUCGAGGGGGGUAGGGGCUUGCGGAACUGUGCGUGGAGCGGUGAAAUGCGUUGAUAUGCACAGGAACUCCGGUGGCGAAGGCGGCGAGCUGGACCCUUUCUGACGCUGAGGCGCGAAAGCCAGGGGAGCGAACGGG
rnacentral:rRNA from 1 species